ensembl:lncRNA
ACAAGAUAUAGUUAUAUCUAUAUCUAUAACAGUAUAUAUAAAUUCGCUAUAAUAUAAUAUAGAGAACGAGCGAGAGAAAGAGAGAUAGCUGUCUGGUCGUAACUGGAGCGGUAACGGAACUGCACUAUUGUUCUCGUUAAAUUCCUUUCCCCCGCGCUCUCGCGCAUGCCAGUCUCCCGUUCUUUAGGAGGAGAGAGACGGAGGCUCGCGGGGCUGGGCUCUACGCAUUGGCUGAAAGGAGACCUCUGGUGUUUUUUUAGCUUAUAUUUUUAGCAGCGGAGGUCGGAUUCGUAUUGCAUCGCGCGUGGCUCAUCUGCAGUGCUGCUGCGCGCUGGAGAACCGCAGUGUGUUGCGCUCUGAACGCUCGAGCUCCGCAUACUGAACGCGCCCGCUGCAACGGCGAAUGAGCUCAAGAAAACACGCAGUUCGGUCUGUUUGCGGAGCGCUGGAUAUCUCAUAUAGGCUUUCUUCUUAUUUUUUUGGAAAUGGCCAGUCCCGGAGACGAUUCGGCUUCAAAUGCCCAGCUGGAUCAAGCUGAAUCUGCUGACGCUUCGCCAGAACCAGCGUUUCAAGAAGCUCAGAAAUGGAUCGAGGCAGUGACAGGAAGAAGUUUCGGUGAUAAGGAUUUCAGAAGCGGCCUGGAGAAUGGCAUUCUGCUCUGCGAGUUGCUGAGUUCAAUCAAACCAGGCCUUGUGAAAAAGAUCAACAGACUUCCAGCACCCAUUGCAGGACUGGAUAAUCUGACCAUGUUUCUGAGAGGAUGCGAAGAGCUGGGAUUGAAGGGAUCACAGCUGUUCGAUCCUGGAGACCUGCAGGAUACGUCGAUACGAGCAAACUUAACGGGCUCUGACUGCAGUAGAAAGCUGAAGAAUGUGCUCAUAACCAUAUACUGGCUUGGUAAAGCUGCUAACAGCUGUACAACAUAUAACGGCCCCACACUCGACCUGAAAGAGUUUGAGGGGCUUCUUUCCAUGAUGCGAAAGGAGUGUGUAAAUGAAGAGUUAGACUCCCCUAAGCGCAGUAUAAGGGACAGCGGUUACAUUGACAGCUGGGAAUCGGAGCGUUCUGAUUCGCUGUCUCCUCCGAGGCACGGCCGCGAAGAUUCGUUUGACAGUCUCGACUCGUUUGGCUCACGAUCACAGAACACACCCUCACCAGACACCGUUAUUCGCUGCAACAGUGAUGACUCUGAAGGUGACGCUGGUCAAAGGAAGUUGCCAGACGUGCGCAAGGAUGACAUGUCUGCCCGUCGCGUGUCCUACAAAGAGCCUCGCGCAGCUCUGCCCUUUAAUCAGUAUCUGCCGAACAAAAGCAACCAAACCAACUACAUUCCUGCCCCCCUGAGGAAGAGGAGGAGCGAGAGAGAGGAAGACUGGAGGAGUCUAAGCAACUCAACGUCUCCUGUAGGAGGAGAAAGACCUCUCAGACAAGAGCGUGUAGAAGUAUUAAAAGAGGGGGCUGUCGCAUCUCGCAGCCUUGCGCUUCAGAAAAAUUUCACCUGGGCGGAUGAGAAAGGGGUAGAGCUUGAGGAGGCAGAGCUUAAGAAAAUGAGGAAGCUGGAAAAGGCGGGAAUUAAAGUAUUACCUGCCUCUGUGCGAUAUAACAGUCCAAUUGUGAAUCCUGUGGAGGCCAGUAAACCCAAACCACCUUCACCAGGCAUCAUUCUCCGACGUGACAAUGAGUUCAUGCGGGCCACCGCUCCACAUCAGUGGGACUCAAAUGAGGAAGAUGAUGAUGAAGAAGCAGAACGGAAGGUUCCAGAUGUCCAAAAGGAUGAUCUUGCUUCUCGCAGAGCACGAAUGAAUCAAUUCAAACCCAGUGUGGCGCAUCACUUCCUGCCAGGCUCUUGUGGCUGGAAGGACCGAGAAAAAUGGGAGGGAAUCAGGCUGGCAUCCCAGCAUGCCGUGUUGGAGAGGAUGGAGAAAAUGGCACAGGAGAAAAGAAGUCAGGCUGACUCCGCCUCCCCUGAGGUGCCAAUCAUAACUCGUAAGGACAACCCUUUCCUGAAUCCUGAAAAAGACAGGGGAAAAGAGAGGGAUGAGGAAGAUGAGAAAGAGGUAGAGGGGAAGAUAGUUGUCCCAAACCCACACAAAGAUGAUCUUGCAAGGAGGCGGACUGGGGGAGGGCCACGCCCUCCCAAAGAUGCUCAUCAGUCAUUGGUCCAGACUUCCAUCACUCAGUCAGACCUGGAGACAUGGCAGAGACUCAAGAUUAAUACAGAUAGCAGUGAGUCUGACUCCACCGAUGCUGAAGUGUCAAUCAUAACUCGCAAGGACAACCCCUUCCUGACCUCUGAGAAAGACAGUGAGUGUAAGCAGGAGAAUGAGGAGGGUACAGACAGAGAGAAAGGGGCGAGGGUGGUGAUGCCUGAUGUAAAGACAGAUGACCUGGCCAGAAGGCGGGGCCAAAAUGGGCCUGUCCCACAGAGGGACCCCCGUCAGUCAUUGGCUCAAACUACCAUCACUCAGUCGGACCUGGAGAAAUGGCAGAGGCUCAAGAUGAAUACAGAGAGCAGCGAUGACCCUAUUGUCCCUCUGUGUCAGACGUGUCUUGAGAAAGGCUGCCACUCUGUUGCCUCCAAGACGAAGGUUGCCAAGAACGACCUGGCCAGUUGCCGAGAACGUUCCUCCGGUGAACGGAGGCGUUUUGUGACUUUUGGGGGUGUGACAGAGAUGAAGAGUACUUCCUGGAAGGAGGAGGAGGAGGAUAAGGAAGGGGGAGAGGGACAGGGGGACGAGGCAGAGAAGCUUCGAUAUCUCCUCUCGAUGGCACAUGUUGCUGUGCCCACCAUAGGGCUGGGCUCCAUACUGACAAAAAAAGCGGUUGGCAGUGGAGAUGCAAUCCCUGAGCCUGCUCCUAUCAUGCCCCCUGAACCUCCGAAUCCUUUCAUGUUUGACCUUAAACGGCCUUUGACCUCCACCGAGCACAGGUUGCUGGAGGAGGAAUUGGUGGAGAAAGUGAAGGAUAAGAGGGAGGAUGAUGAAGAGGAUGAAGAACAAGAGAGGCAACUGGAUAUACAAAAGGAUGACAUGCUAGCUCGUAGAACAGGAGCAUUUCAGAAGCCAGCAAAUGGGACUUCACAUAACAGAUUCCUCCCGCAGCCGGGUUCCAAGAGAGACGGUGCUACAGUGACUUCCUUAGCCCAGAAAGGAAGUAUUCAGAUGGGCACGAGUGGAGACAGAGACCUCCAAUACCUGGAAAGAAACAUAAAGACAAAGAGAACCAAGAUUGGACAGAGAAAUGAACCAGUCGACCAAGUACAAAAGACACCCGUUCCAGUUGCUGUAGUAACAGAAAAAUGCCCUGAAAUUUUACAUUUGUCUUCAACUAACGCCAAUCGCUCUGGGAUUUACACUGAUGAUGAUGAAUGGGGGGAUGACGAUCAAUUGCAAGAUUUUGAGAAAGAUGACAUGCUUGCACAAAGGACUGGAUCUUACCAAAAGCCAAGUGCAGGACAGGAUUUUAAUGUUUUUUUGCACAAACCUGGUGCUGUCAAACAUAAAAUCACUCCUGUCAGUAGAUCUCAGUCACACCUCAAGCCUAGAGAGCAAGAGACAGCCCCAUCUCUGGACAGCUUCACCCUUAGCUCUGUGGCCCCGGCCCCAAGAGAUGUUGAGGACACGCCUAGGAAGUGCCCUCAGAUGAUGGACAGGCAGGAGGCAGGCUCUGUGGGUGUGGUGGGACAUGAAAGUCUUAUUAAAGAUGAGCCUAUUACCAAAAGCCCCUCCCCCAAACCUCACCAACCCUCACGUCGCCCCCUUUGGCAGGAAGAUGAUGAUCUCCCCCCAAUAUUCAGAGCUACUAGUGUUUCUGAAACAGAGUAAGUUUAUUUUCCUUUCACUCUGUCUUCUUACUGUCGCUGCAGAACUGAGCAGUUGCAUGUACUGUCAACACAAGCAUUCAGCAGUGUCUCUAUUCACAUGCAGAUACAACCAUUUUAAUUGUCAUCUAAAUUCUCUCUUGCACUUUAUGCAUGCUCAUUCAAAAGCUGAGCAGUCAAAAGCCUGUGCCUACACAUGCAUGCAACAUGUAUUUGAAUCUUUCUCAUGGUUUGCUGUGGUGGAUGCUUUUGCUCCCUGGAGAAAAUUGUUACACAUGCACACACACACACACACACACACACACACACACACAUUUACUUACUUUCAUAACCUCAAUCCACUACAGCAUACCCAGUUUUAUUAAAGGAACAGUUCAACGAAAAAUGAAAAUUCUGUCAUAAUUUGCUUGUCAUGUUGUUCUAAAUCUAUAUGACUGGAUGAGGGGAAAAAAUAACAAUGUGCUGAUUGCUCUUCUCCAUGCAUUUACAAUUCAUUAGAGUUUACAAGCUUCAAAAGGAUGCAAAUAUGACGUGUAUAUAUUUAAGUCAUACAAUAGCUUUAUAUGAGAAACCAACUGAAGCUGAAGAUCAGUUUUGUGAGUUGGGAUAAAAUAUAUAUACCUUUAUGUAGAUCAGAAGUGAAGAUUUACUAAAAUCUAAUGUGGUAUGAUAAUAUGGGUUUUGAACAACAUGAGGGUUUCUUAAGCAGUUAAGAAAUGAUGUUUGUCAUAUAUGUAAAUCUACUUUUUCUUGUACUUGUUCUGUUUGUAUUCUUCAUGGUCCUUAUAACCAUGUGUUGUUCUUCCACUAACAUUUCUUCCACUUGUCAUUCCAUGUUAACAUCAUAAUAACAUUUUAUAUUUUGCUGUUUUCGUGUCUUCAGGUCAGAGGAAGAGAUGUAGUGUUAUUUUUGCUCUGGCUUUGAUUGCACCUUUCCUUCUUCAGCUAAAAGCAUUACAGCACUUGUAAACAUGUCUGUUUUUGUUUGUUAUUCAAAGGAGUGUGAGUUUGAUUGACAUGCGUGAUGAAGAGGAUGAGCUGGCCUACCAUCAGCCGCACAGCCAAUCACGACAUGAGCACCUACACAACCAGUACAACAAACUCCGAGAGGAGGAGGACCAGUGGCAGGACGUGAGUCAUACAAACCCACACAAGCACAUGUUUAAUGAGCUCACAUGCAUAAGUAUGUACAUUUUCUGGCUUCUGUGUGUAGGACUUGGCUCGCUGGAAGAAUCGGAGGCGAAGUGCAUCUCAAGAUUUGAUCA